rnacentral:rRNA from 1 species
AUGGACGCCACCCGCGCCCUCCUCCUGCCCCGCUCCGACGGCGCCGUGCCCGGCGUCGUCGACUUCCGCGGCGGCCCCGCGCCCCGCGCCUCCACCGGCCGAUGGUCCGCCGCCAUGUUCGUCCUCGGUGUGGAGAUCGCGGAGCGGUUCGCGUACCACGGCGUGUCGGCCAACCUCAUCAGCUACCUGACGGGCCCGCUUGGGGAGUCCACGGCCGGCGCCGCCGCGGCGAUCAACGCGUGGAGCGGCGUCGCCACGAUGCUGCCGCUGCUGGUGGCCUGCGUCGCCGACGCCUGGCUCGGCCGGUUCCGCACCAUCGUGCUCGCCUCCGUCCUCUUCGUCGUGAGCAUGGGCAUGCUGACCCUGUCCUCGGCGCUCCCGGUGUUCCACUCGGACGGGUGCACCAGCUUCACCUCGCUGUCGGGCGCGUGCUCGCCGUCGCCGGUGCAGGUGACCAUCUUCUACGUCUCGCUCUACCUGGUGGCGCUGGCGGAGGCCGGGCACAAGCCGUGCGCGCAGGCGUUCGGCGCCGACCAGUUCGACCAGCACCACCCCGAGGAGUCCGUCUCCCGGAGCUCCUUCUUCAACUGGUGGUACUUCGGCAUGUGCUCCGGCACCGCCGCCACCACCAUGGUCUCCAGCUACAUCCAGGACAACAUCGGCUGGGGCCUCGGCUUCGGCAUCCCCUGCCUCGUCAUGGUCUUGGCGCUCGCCAUGUUCCUGCUAGGCACCCGCCGCUACCGCUACUACACCUCCACCCAGUCCAGCCCCUUCGCCCGCCUCGCCAGGGCCUUCGUCGCGCUCCUCAAAGGCUCCAAGUCCAGCCAAUGCGCCAACACUCUUGCCGGCGAGGAUGGAGAAUUCAACGCGGAGCACCGUGAGGAGGUUAGGGGCCUGCUGCGGCUGUUCCCCAUCUGGGCGACGUGCAUCAUCUACGCCGUCAUCUUCUCCCAGUCCUCGACCUUCUUCACGAAGCAGGCCGCGACGCUGGACCGGCGGAUCGGGGCCACCUUCCGCGUGCCGCCGGCGGCGCUGCAGACGUUCAUCAGCCUGACCAUCAUCACCUUCAUCCCGGUCUACGACCGGCUGUUCGUGCCGGCGGCGCGGCGGUUCACGCGCCUGUCCUCGGGCAUCACCAUGCUGCAGAGGAUCGGCACGGGCCUCGUCCUGGCGCUGGUGGCCAUGGUGGUGGCGGCGCUGGUGGAGGCGAGGCGGCUGGGCGUGGCGCGGGAGGCCGGCCUCGUGGACGACCCCAAGGCGGCGCUGCCGAUGAGCCUGUGGUGGAUGGUGCCGCAGUACGUGCUGUUCGGGCUGUCGGACGUGUUCGCCAUGAUCGGGCUGCAGGAGUUCUUCUACGACCAGGUGCCCGACGCGCUGCGCAGCCUGGGGCUGGCCUUCUUCCUCAGCAUCUUCGGGGUGGGCCACUUCCUCAGCAGCUUCCUCAUCUCCGCCAUCGACGGCGCCACCAAGAAGGGCGGCGCCAGCUGGUUCUCCAACAACCUCAACCGCGCCCACCUCGACUACUUCUACUGGCUGCUCGCCGGGCUCUGCGCGGCGGAGCUGGCCGCGUUCGUGGUUGUCUCGCGCGUCUAUGUUUACAAGAAGAAGGUGGCUCACCAUGACCAUGACGACGGUGGCGCUGUCAUGUGA